rnacentral:rRNA from 1 species
GGAAUAUUAGAAAUGGACGAACGUCUGAUCUAGCAACACCGCGUGUGCGAAGAAGGCCUUCGGGUCGUAAAGCACUUUUUGGAAGGAAUAGGAAGGAAUGUACUUCCAGAAUAAGUCUCGGCUAACUACGUGCCAGCAGCCGCGGUAACACGUAGGAGGCGAACGUUGUCCGGAUUUACUGGGCGUAAAGCGCGUGUAGGUGGUACUGUAAGUAGGGCGUGAAAGCUCCUGGCUCAACUGGGAGAGGCCGUUCUAAACUACAGAACUAGAGGAUGGUAGAGGGAGGUGGAAUUCCAGGUGUAGCGGUGGAAUGCGCAGAUAUCUGGAGGAACACCGGUGGCGAAGGCGGCCUCCUGGACCAUUCCUGACACUCAGACGCGAAAGCUAGGGUAGCAAACGG